CUGCUUCAGCUGCAUCUGGAUGCUCUGGAACUUGCCGUGGAUGACCCCCACCAUGUGCUCUAUCUCCGCGGGCGAGACGGGCCUGAUCCUGCUCUGCUCCUGGAGAAGGAGGUCCUGGUAAGAAAUAUAGAACUAACAAGCCACCACCAACGGGAACGGGAAGAACAUGCAAAAGGUCAACAGGAGACGUCACAUGUCCUACCAACCUCCCAGAAUCCUCCUCGCUGGAAUCCACCUUGGCUGAGUGAUGCAUGCACCACCAGGAAGGACCCCGAGUCAGAAUGAUUGGCCAGAGACAACCUGGAAACUAACCCUAUCACCAUAAAACCUGAGACUGUGAGCCACGUGGCAGAGCAGUCCUCCUGGGUUCCCUUACCCUCCUUCUCUCCGCUCAGGCACCCCUUCCCAAUAGAGUCUCUUGUUCUGUCAGC